rnacentral:rRNA from 1 species
GACGAACGCUGGCGGCGUGCUUAACACAUGCAAGUCGAACGGAAAGGCCCUGCUUUUGUGGGGUGCUCGAGUGGCGAACGGGUGAGUAACACGUGAGUAACCUGCCCUUGACUUUGGGAUAACUUCAGGAAACUGGGGCUAAUACCGGAUAGGAGCUCCUGCUGCAUGGUGGGGGUUGGAAAGUUUCGGCGGUUGGGGAUGGACUCGCGGCUUAUCAGCUUGUUGGUGGGGUAGUGGCUUACCAAGGCUUUGACGGGUAGCCGGCCUGAGAGGGUGACCGGCCACAUUGGGACUGAGAUGCGGCCCAGACUCCUACGGGAGGCAGCAGUGGGGAAUAUUGCACAAUGGGCGGAAGCCUGAUGCAGCGACGCCGCGUGCGGGAUGACGGCCUUCGGGUUGUAAACCGCUUUCGCCUGUGGCGAAGCGUGAGUGACGGUAAUGGGUGAAGAAGCACCGGCUAACUACGUG